ensembl:lncRNA
GCCUCCUUCCUCAUGACCUUUGUCACGAGUGGAAUGCCUCACCGGCUCCCGGCAGUGGUGGUUUAGUCACUAAGUCGUGUCCCACUUGCAAUCCCAAGGGCUGUAGCCUGCCAGGCUCCUCUGUCCAUGGGAGUCUCCAGGCAAGAAUCCUGGAGGGGGUUGCCAUUUCCUCCUCCAGGGGAUUGUCCCCACCCAGGAAUCAAACCCGGGUCUCCUGCAUUGCAGGCAGAUUCUUUACCAAUCGAGCUGCAAGGGAGGCCCCUAUGUGUAUAUAUGCACGUGCCCUUUCUCACAUUCUUUUCCAGGCUAGUUUGUCACAGGGCACUGAACACAGUUCCCUGAGCCACACUGCAGGACCGUGUUGCCUGUCCAUCAUGCGUGUAAUGGUUUGCUCUGCUAAUUCCACUUUCCAGUCCUUCCUCCCCCACCCCCUGAAGUCCUCUGGUUUGGACUCGAUGCCGGGGACCCCUCUUCCUCUGGAGGGGUGCCCGCAGUCCAGCUGACUAAGCCUGGGCCUCACACGGUGAGUUGACUUCUCUGGUAAAACAGGAGCCACAUAAGGCACAGGCACUGACGGCAUGGUGCAGGGAGCAGUGCUGGGUCAGGGGCCAGGGGCCCGGGACCACCACCCGAGGCAGGCGCCCUGGGGAGCACAGCUGUGCCCCGGGGAGGCUUGCCUGAGGCUGAGAGUCACGAGCUCUGGGUUCACCAGUUUGCUGCCUUUAGAGAAGUCUCCAGACCGUGCAUUUAGGUUUCACAGCUUUCCCUUUUCCAUGUUAAUAACCAGAUGAAAAUUUUCCUGAAAGAUUAUAGGAGAUGGCAUGUCUGAAGCAAGUGCAAGUAGUAAAAGCCGUGCAGGAGUUAAGUUAUAACUAGGGCUCGGAGAGACCAGGUGAGGGGGUGACGGCAGGUGUGGUGGGUGAGGGUCUCUGUGGUCUCCUGGGGUCAGGUGAAGGGAGGUGCCCACAGGUUUGGUGGGUGAGGGUCUCCAUGGUCUCCUGGGGUCAGGUGAAGGCAGAUGCCCUCAGGUUUGGUGGGUGAGGGUCUCCGCAGUUCCUGGGGUCAGGUGAAGGGAGGUGCCCGCAGGUUUGGUGGGUGAGGGUCUCCAUGGUCUCCUGGGGUCAGGUGAAGGGAGGUGCCCACAGGUGUGGUGGGUGAGGGUCUCCGCAGUUCCUGGGGUCAGGUGAAGGGAGGUGCCCACAGGUUUGGUGGGUGAGGGUCUCCAUGGUCUCCUGGGGUCAGGUGAAGGGAGGUGCCCACAGGUGUGGUGGGUGAGGGUCUCCGCAGUUCCUGGGGUCAGGUGAAGGGAGGUGCCCGCAGGUUUGGUGGGUGAGGGUCUCCAUGGUCUCCUGGGGUCAGGUGAAGGGAGGUGCCCACAGGUUUGGUGGGUGAGGGUCUCCAUGGUCUCCUGGGGUCAGGUGAAGGCAGAUGCCCUCAGGUUUGGUGGGUGAGGGUCUCCGCAGUUCCUGGGGUCAGGUGAAGGGAGGUGCCCGCAGGUUUGGUGGGUGAGGGUCUCCAUGGUCUUCUGGGAUCAGGUAGGUCCCUAGCCCUCCCCUCAGCUUCAGCGCCCGAGCAGGACACCCUGGAGCCUGAAGGUCCCAUGUCGGAUGCUCAAAUGGCAGCAUGUUGGGAGGAAACUGGGGCCUGAAGCCCCUUCUAUGUUCCCGCCUCAGUAAUGAUGCUUAAUGGUUGAGAGGCAGCAGAGUAAAAUGUGCACCCAACUUAGUGAUUAUUCCCACACGGGGUGACAGCCGCCUGUCAGGAGCAUUUUAUUCCUGUCUGUGUUAGCUCCACAGUUCAGGAAAG